UUUCCGUAGGUGAACCUGCGGAAGGAUCAUUAUUGUAUAACCGAGGUGCGAGGGCUGUCGCUGACCCGAAAGGUCGUGCACGCCCGAGUGCCCUCACACAUCCAUCUCACCCCUAUGUGCACCACCGCGUGGGUCCCCCUUUGGCUUGUUCGGAGGGGGGCUUACGUUUUCACACAAACUUUGUAUGCAGAGUAGAAUGUAUUUUUUGUUUUUGCGAUCACGCAAUCAAUACAACUUUCAACAACGGAUCUCUUGGCUCUC
rnacentral:misc_RNA from 1 species